ACGUAGGUGGCAAGCGUUAUCCGGAAUUACUGGGCGUAAAGCGCACGCAGGUGGUUUGCUAAGAUUGACGUGAAAGCGCCUGGCUUAACUGGGCGAGGUCGUUGAUGACUGGCCGACUUGAGGCGAGGAGAGGGGUGUAGAAUUCCCGGUGUAGUGGUGGAAUGCGUAGAUAUCGGGAGGAAUACCAGUGGCGAAAGCGGCACCCUGGCCUUGGCCUGACGCUCAGGUGCGAAAGCGUGGGGAGCGAACGGGAUUAGAUACCCCGGUAGUCCACGCUGUAAACGAUGAACACUAGGUGUAGGUGGUGUCAAAACCAUCGGUACCGAAGCCAACGCGAUAAGUGUUCCGCCUGGGGAGUACGACCGCAAGGUUA
rnacentral:rRNA from 1 species